rnacentral:rRNA from 1 species
UACAGAGGGUGCGAGCGUUAUUCGGAAUCACUGGGCUUAAAGGGUGCGUAGGCGGCUUGAAGCGCCAGGUGUGAAAUUUUCCAGCUCAACUGGGAAACUGCGCCUGGGACGAUCAGGCUUGAGUCGAUCAGGGGUGUGCGGAACUGCCAGUGGAGCGGUGAAAUGUGUUGAGAUUGGCAGGAACGCCGGUGGCGAAAGCGGCACACUGGGAUCGUUCUGACGCUGAGGCACGAAAGCUAGGGGAGCGAACGGG